rnacentral:rRNA from 2 species
CGCCGGCGGUGUGCCUAAUACAUGCAAGUCGAACGCGUUGGCCCAAUUGAUUGAUGGUGCUUGCACCUGAUUGAUUUUGGUCGCCAACGAGUGGCGGACGGGUGAGUAACACGUAGGUAACCUGCCCAGAAGCGGGGGACAACAUUUGGAAACAGAUGCUAAUACCGCAUAACAGCGUUGUUCGCAUGAACAACGCUUAAAAGAUGGCUUCUCGCUAUCACUUCUGGAUGGACCUGCGGUGCAUUAGCUUGUUGGUGGGGUAACGGCCUACCAAGGCGAUGAUGCAUAGCCGAGUUGAGAGACUGAUCGGCCACAAUGGGACUGAGACACGGCCCAUACUCCUACGGGAGGCAGCAGUAGGGAAUCUUCCACAAUGGGCGCAAGCCUGAUGGAGCAACACCGCGUGAGUGAAGAAGGGUUUCGGCUCGUAAAGCUCUGUUGUUAAAGAAGAACACGUAUGAGAGUAACUGUUCAUACGUUGACGGUAUUUAACCAGAAAGUCACGGCUAACUACGUGCCAGCAGCCGCGGUAAUACGUAGGUGGCAAGCGUUAUCCGGAUUUAUUGGGCGUAAAGAGAGUGCAGGCGGUUUUCUAAGUCUGAUGUGAAAGCCUUCGGCUUAACCGGAGAAGUGCAUCGGAAACUGGAUAACUUGAGUGCAGAAGAGGGUAGUGGAACUCCAUGUGUAGCGGUGGAAUGCGUAGAUAUAUGGAAGAACACCAGUGGCGAAGGCGGCUACCUGGUCUGCAACUGACGCUGAGACUCGAAAGCAUGGGUAGCGAACAGGAUUAGAUACCCUGGUAGUCCAUGCCGUAAACGAUGAGUGCUAGGUGUUGGAGGGUUUCCGCCCUUCAGUGCCGGAGCUAACGCAUUAAGCACUCCGCCUGGGGAGUACGACCGCAAGGUUGAAACUCAAAGGAAUUGACGGGGGCCCGCACAAGCGGUGGAGCAUGUGGUUUAAUUCGAAGCUACGCGAAGAACCUUACCAGGUCUUGACAUCUUGCGCCAACCCUAGAGAUAGGGCGUUUCCUUCGGGAACGCAAUGACAGGUGGUGCAUGGUCGUCGUCAGCUCGUGUCGUGAGAUGUUGGGUUAAGUCCCGCAACGAGCGCAACCCUUGUUACUAGUUGCCAGCAUUAAGUUGGGCACUCUAGUGAGACUGCCGGUGACAAACCGGAGGAAGGUGGGGACGACGUCAGAUCAUCAUGCCCCUUAUGACCUGGGCUACACACGUGCUACAAUGGACGGUACAACGAGUCGCGAACUCGCGAGGGCAAGCAAAUCUCUUAAAACCGUUCUCAGUUCGGACUGCAGGCUGCAACUCGCCUGCACGAAGUCGGAAUCGCUAGUAAUCGCGGAUCAGCAUGCCGCGGUGAAUACGUUCCCGGGCCUUGUACACACCGCCCGUCACACCAUGAGAGUUUGUAACACCCAAAGUCGGUGGGGUAACCUUUUAGGAGCCAGCCGCCUAAGGUGGGACAGAUGAUUA